UCCUUAUUUCUUUCCUGCAUGGGUGUCUGACUGGGGGUGGAAAGGGGACAGCAUACCCAGGGCCCUCAUGUGAGGAGGGCCC